CCACGGGGUAUUGCCUUAGUACGGCGAGUGAAGCGGCAAAAGCUCAAAUUUGAAAUCUGGUACCUUCGGUGCCCGAGUUGUAAUUUGGAGAGGGCAACUUUGGGGCCGUUCCUUGUCUAUGUUCCUUGGAACAGGACGUCAUAGAGGGUGAGAAUCCCGUGUGGCGAGGAGUGCGGUUCUUUGUAAAGUGCCUUCGAAGAGUCGAGUUGUUUGGGAAUGCAGCUCUAAGUGGGUGGUAAAUUCCAUCUAAAGCUAAAUAUUGGCGAGAGACCGAUAGCGAACAAGUACAGUGAUGGAAAGAUGAAAAGAACUUUGAAAAGAGAGUGAAAAAGUACGUGAAAUUGUUGAAAGGGAAGGGCAUUUGAUCAGACAUGGUGUUUUGUGCCCUCUGCUCCUUGUGGGUAGGGGAAUCUCGCAUUUCACUGGGCCAGCAUCAGUUUUGGUGGCAGGAUAAAUCCAUAGGAAUGUAGCUUGCCUCGGUAAGUAUUAUAGCCUGUGGGAAUACUGCCAGCUGGGACUGAGGACUGCGACGUAAGUCAAGGAUGCUGGCAUAAUGGUUAUAUGCCGCCCGUCUUGAAACACGGACCAAA
rnacentral:rRNA from 1 species